AUUUGGGUAGUUUAUCAAAAUAGAAGAUUGUGGAGCUUCAGUAGGUUUUUACCCUCGAAUA
rnacentral:tRNA from 1 species